CAAGUUUGGUUCAUGCCUAACAAUUAUCAUUGGUUUCACAUGGGGAGCCUUUUGUACCAAUUUUGAGGCCAGAAUCUGAUGUGCAUGAAGGCACUGAAAGAAUAGCUGAUAGUGCACCAAUAAAUACAUACCGCGNNNNUGACGCCCCUUACCCGUCUAUUGUAUAGCCGAGCAAGAAGUGCCACAUUCGGUGCCGGAACACCC
rnacentral:misc_RNA from 1 species